GACGAACGCUGGCGGCGUGCUUAACACAUGCAAGUCGAACGGAAAGGUCCUGCUUUUGUGGGGUGCUCGAGUGGCGAACGGGUGAGUAACACGUGAGUAAACUGCCCCUGACUUUGGGAUAACUCUAGGAAACUGGGGCUAUUAUAGGAUAGGAGCUCCUGCUGCAUGUUGGGGGUUGGAAAGAUUCGGCGGUUGGGGAUGGACUCGCGGCAUAUCAGCUGGUUGGUGGGGUAGUGGCUUACCAAGGCUUUGACGGGUAGCCGGCCUGAGAGGGUGACCGGCCACAAGGGGACUGAGAUACGGCCCAGACGCCUACGGGAGGCAGCAGUGGGGAAUAUUGCACAAUGGGCGGAAGCCUGAUGCAGCAACGCCGCGUGCGGGAUGACGUCCUUCGGGUUGUAAACCGCUUUCGCCUGUAACGAGGCGUGAGUGACGGUAAUGGGUAAAGAAGCACCGGCUAACUACGUG
rnacentral:rRNA from 1 species